rnacentral:rRNA from 1 species
CGCGUAGGUGGUUUGUUAAGUUGGAUGUGAAAGCCCCGGGCUCAACCUGGGAACUGCAUCCAAAACUGGCAAGCUAGAGUACGGUAGAGGGUGGUGGAAUUUCCUGUGUAGCGGUGAAAUGCGUAGAUAUAGGAAGGAACACCAGUGGCGAAGGCGACCACCUGGACUGAUACUGACACUGAGGUGCGAAAGCGUGGGGAGCAAACAG